AUUGAACGCUGGCGGCAGGCCUAACACAUGCAAGUCGAGCGGAUGAAGGGAGCUUGCUCCUGGAUUCAGCGGCGGACGGGUGAGUAAUGCCUAGGAAUCUGCCUGGUAGUGGGGGACAACGUUUCGAAAGGAACGCUAAUACCGCAUACGUCCUACGGGAGAAAGCAGGGGACCUUCGGGCCUUGCGCUAUCAGAUGAGCCUAGGUCGGAUUAGCUAGUUGGUAAGGUAAUGGCUCACCAAGGCGACGAUCCGUAACUGGUCUGAGAGGAUGACCAGUCACACUGGAACUGAGACACGGUCCAGACUCCUACGGGAGGCAGCAGUGGGGAAUAUUGGACAAUGGGCGAAAGCCUGAUCCAGCCAUGCCGCGUGUGUGAAGAAGGUCUUCGGAUUGUAAAGCACUUUAAGUUGGGAGGAAGGGUUGUAGAUUAAUACUCUGCAAUUUUGACGUUACCGACAGAAUAAGCACCGGCUAACUCUGUGCCAGCCGCCGCCGUAACAC
rnacentral:rRNA from 1 species